UCGAGAGCAGUUAAAAGAAGCACCAAUUCGAGAUGUUCAGCUUCUGCUAAUGGAAAACCAUUAAAUCCCAUACCCUCAGACAGUCCUAAUAAAAGUUCGAUUAGGUUUAUGGUUGGAAAAAGAAUGCAAUCUAGCAGCUUUGUAAUGUUCUCUGAUGAUAGACCUGGUACCACUAGCUCACAGAAAAUGAUCGGAAAUUACAGGAGACAGCUUUCGCCAUUAUCAAAAUCCAAAUCAUCGAAGUCCCAGUUGCAAGAAUUCGGAGUACAGAAUAAAAAAAGAGGCAAAGGCAUGAUUAUGCAAGGGGUUCGAAGUGAUCUUCGAUCCCGCAGCGAUACUGGACCACGAAAACAAGAGGAUAUAAAGCAAAUAAGUGAGCCAAGAUGUUUUUCACGACGGCAGAAAACUUUGUAAGCUAUUGAAGACUAACCCUGUUACCCAUUGACGAUUAUCAACACACAUUUAAGAUUAGAGUAGCUAUCAACUCAUAUUGAGACUUCAAACUGGAUUUACAAAACAUCAAUCAUCUAUGUGGAAUAUAGUGUUACACUGCUUGACAUUACUGCAUGUGUGCUUACCUACUAAGUGUAAACACUGUAAUAGUCUUAGUAACGCGUGACCUUGUGCAAUGCCGAACUAAAAGUAAACAGCAUCGACUGGUUGUAGAAUCAUGAGUUCUCAUAGCUGUACAUUUAUACCAAUAUUUAUUUCAGUUAUGUGUAUUUUUUUUUAAAAAUCCGAAUCAAUGUUUGUAUCGAUAUAAGCUAUAUCUAAAUAGUUUACCACUCUGUUAAAUUGAUUUCCUUUAAAGUCAUCAUGAUCAUAUGAUAUAUCAUAUUCAAAUGUGUUUUUAAUCUUAAAGUGUGUUCUUUAAUAACUAAGGUUCACUUGAAGAAAAAAAACUGGUACUAAAGACUUCCUUAUAAAAAACAUUCUUAUAUUUUAUCAAACUAUUUAUAAAUGUACUGCUAUUUAAUUAAUGUUUUCCCGUACUCAAAUUCUUUUACGUACAGUUACCUAAACCAUGCCGUCUAUCGUUAAUAUUAAGGCGUGAUGAAAGAAAAAUUAAACAAACCUGGAAAGCAAAUAGUUACGGAAGCGUAUUAACGCCACACAUUUUUUUUUAUUUAUAUUCCUUCCAAGGUUUGCGUUAUUUAACUUUUGCGAAAUAACGCUAACCUUUGCGUUAUAACGCAAAACGUUGCAAAAUAACGCAAACAUUAUUUUAUCAGCUUCAACAAACCAAAAAUACAAUACGAGAUUUUCGCCUUCAGAUAAUCUUAUAAUUCGAAAUACUAAUACAGAGUUGUGUAAGUUUAGUUUCUCGUACAGUGGACCAAAAGUAUGGAAUGCUCUACACAAUACAAUUGAAAAAUCAUCAAACACAGUUUUAGAAUUUAAACAUAAAUACAAAUCUAUGUACCUUGGACAUUACCAUGAUAUUUGCACUGUAAUGCCGGAAAUCUAUACCGAAGGAAGUGACACUAGACGAUGGGACAACUAGUACAGAUACAAACACUGUGUUAAAUAAAUGGAAAUCUGUUUUGAUAAAUUAUUGAAUUGUAAUAAUCAGACCAUUGACACUACUGUUAAUAUUUAUAAACCAGAUGAUUUUUUAGAUAGGGAAAUAUUGUUUGAAGAAGUAGUAAAUGCUGUUGCUAAAAGUAAAAAUGGCAAGUCACCAGGUAUUGAUCAGUUGUCAGUAGAAUAACUUAGAAAUAAUGCAUUGAUGUUAAUUUUGCAGAAGUUAUUUAAUAUAUGUUUCAAGUAUGGAAAAAUUCCUUCUGUAUGGGGUAAAAGUAUUAUAACUCCAAUUCCUAGGUCUUCAACUUCAGAUCCACGAGAUCCUUUAUCAUACAGGGGCAUAACUUUAGCCCCCUGUGCAUAUAAAUUAUAUUGCAGUAUACUAAAUGAUAGGUUAGUGUAUUGGUUAGAACAAAGAGAUAUGAUUCAUGAUGAGCAAAUUGGCUUCCGUAAAGGUAGAAGUACCAUUGAUCAUCUAAGUACAUUAACUUCCAUUAUUGAAACUAGAAAACUGAAAAAGUUAUCAAUAUUCGCAGCUUUCAUAGAUUUUAAAAAAGCGUAUGUUACUGUUAGUAGAAAAUUAUUGUUUACUAAAUUGGAUGAUUUAGGAAUUAGUACACAUUUUAUAUGUACAUUGGAAGCUAUACAUUCACAUGUAGAAUAUUGUAUCAAACUUAAUGGCAAUAUGACAGACUGGUUUAGCGUUAAUUCAGGUUUAAAACAAGGAUGUGUAUUAUCGUCUGUUAUGUUCAAUAAUUUUAUUAAUAGUUUAGUUGAUGUAAUAAAAGCACUAGACAUUGGUGAAGACAUUGGUGGUGAAAAAGUUGGUAUACUUUUAUAUGCUGAUGACAUUGUAUUUAUUCCUAAAAAUGAAAAUAAUGUACAGGCUCUAUUAGAUGUAUGAGGUGGUUGGUGUGUUACCAAUUGUAUGAAUGUGAACUUAGAUAAAACUAAAAUUGUUCAUUUUAGGAACCCUUCGGUUCAACAAACAUCUAAACCAUUUUUGUUAAAUAAAAAUACAGUACAAAUAGUAUCUUGUUACCAAUAUCUGGGUCUACUUUCGACAGAAUAUCUCGAUUAUAAUGAGAUGGCUAAAGCUGUAGUAAGGUCUGCAAGUCGAGCUCUAAGUUUUUUUAUUGUUAAAAGUAAAGCACAUGGUGGUUUCAACCACUGUACCUUUACAACAUUAUUUGAUACUCUGGUCUGGUCAAUCAUAAGCUAUGGUAAAUUCAUUUAGGGCACUCGUUUUUUUUUCUUGUAUAAACGCUGUCCAGAACAGAGCUAUCAGGUUUGUUAUUCAUGUUCGCAAGUAUACGCCAAAUGAUACUGUUAACGGUGACAUGAGCUGAAGACCAUCUAGUGUAAAACAAUGGAUAUGUGUCUUUAGGCACUGGGCAAGAUGUAGUCUCAUGAAUAAUGACAGAAUAAAUUAUUUCAAAUGGUCACAUAAAAUUACUGUAAAUAAUAUGAAAAACUGGUGUAAUAGAGUCAUGAAAAAACUUAAAGAUUGUGAUUUUGAUUUGUAUACUAGUAUUAAUAGUGUGCUACAUAAGAAUAUUGUUCUAUUACUUGAAAAUGUUUUAUUUAAUAAAUAUAUUGCAGAAUGGCAAACGUAAAUUUUGUCACAGAGUAAUGGUAACAAGCUUCGUACUUAUAAGCUAUAUAAAUCACAAUAUUGUACAGAGUUAUAUUUGAAACAAAAUAUGUCUAUUAAAUUUAGACGUGCUUAUGCAAAAUUAAGAUGUGGCGUUGCGCCACUUAGAAUAGAAACAGGACGAUAUGAGAAUAAACCAAUACAUGAAAGUUCUUGUUUUAUGUGUAAAAAUGAAAUUGAAGAUGAAAAACAUGUAUUUACUGUAUGUCCUUUAUAUGCAGACCUUCGAAGGAUAUUGUAUAGUGAAGCAGUAAAAGAUUAAUGAUAAAUUUUAUAAAUUGUCUAUUGACGAAAAGUUUAUAUUUUUAUUCAGAAAUGAAGAACUAUGUCAGAUAAUUGCUGAAACCUGCUUUAAUAUUUUAUGUAGAAGAACAAAUUUCUUAUUUGUAUAUAGCUAAUGAUGUACUUUAAAUCUAUAGUUUAAAAUUAUGUAAAAUAUUGUAUAUAAUUAAUCAUUUAAUAGUCUCUCAUAAUUCUUAAUAUAAUGGCGCUUGUAUAUGUUUUAGUAUUUAAGCUAAUGAUAUUUUACUGUUACUGAGUUUUAAUAUACAAUAU